CAGUAGCCACGGUAAUACGAAGGGUGCAAGCGUUACUCGGAAUUACUGGGCGUAAAGCGUGUGUAGGUGGUUGUUUAAGUCUGUCGUGAAAGCCCUGGGCUCAACCUGGGAAUUGCGAUGGAUACUGGGCGACUAGAGUGCAGUAGAGGAUAGUGGAAUUUCCGGUGUAGCAGUGAAAUGCGUAGAGAUCGGAAGGAACAUCUGUGGCGAAGGCGACUAUCUGGGCCAACACUGACACUGAGACACGAAAGCGUGGGGAGCAAACAGGAUUAGAUACCCCCGUAGUCCCUGUCUCUUAUAC
rnacentral:rRNA from 1 species